UGAGCAAUCUGCCCUUCUCAUCGGAAUAAGCGUUGGAAACGACGUCUAAUGCCGAAUACGACCUCCUUUCGCAUGAUCGGAGGUGGAAAGCUCCGGCGGAGAAGGAUGAGCUCGCGGCCUAUCAGCUAGUUGGUGUGGGUAAUGGCCCACGAGGCGACGACGGGUAGCCGGCCUGAGGAGGGCGACCGGCCACACGUGGGACUGAGACACGGCCCAGACCUCCGUACGGGAGCAG
rnacentral:rRNA from 1 species